CAAGUCGAGCGAGUCUGCCUUGAAGAUCGGAGUGCUUGCACUCUGUGAAACAAGAUACAGGCUAGCGGCGGACGGGUGAGUAACACGUGGGUAACCUGCCCAAGAGAUCGGGAUAACACCUGGAAACAGAUGCUAAUACCGGAUAACAACAGAUGAUGCCUAUCAACUGUUUAAAAGAUGGUUCUGCUAUCACUCUUGGAUGGACCUGCGGUGCAUUAGCUAGUUGGUAGGGUAACGGCCUACCAAGGCGAUGAUGCAUAGCCGAGUUGAGAGACUGAUCGGCCACAUUGGGACUGAGACACGGCCCAAACUCCUACGGGAGGCAGCAGUAGGGAAUCUUCCACAAUGGACGCAAGUCUGAUGGAGCAACGCCGCGUGAGUGAAGAAGGGUUUCGGCUCGUAAAGCUCUGUUGUUGGUGAAGAAGGACAGGGGUAGUAACUGACCUUUGUUUGACGGUAAUCAAUUAGAAAGUCACGGCUAACUACGUGCCAGCAGCCGCGGUAAUACGUAGGUGGCAAGCGUUGUCCGGAUUUAUUGGGCGUAAAGCGAGUGCAGGCGGCUCGAUAAGUCUGAUGUGAAAGCCUUCGGCUCAACCGGAGAAUUGCAUCAGAAACUGUCGAGCUUGAGUACAGAAGAGGAGAGUGGAACUCCAUGUGUAGCGGUGAAAUGCGUAGAUAUAUGGAAGAACACCGGUGGCGAAGGCGGCUCUCUGGUCUGUUACUGACGCUGAGGCUCGAAAGCAUGGGUAGCGAACAGGAUUAGAUACCCUGGUAGUCCAUGCCGUAAACGAUGAGUGCUAAGUGUUGGGGAGGUUUCCGCCUCUCAGUGCUGCAGCUAACGCAUUAAGC
rnacentral:rRNA from 1 species